rnacentral:tRNA from 1 species
GCCCUCGUAGCUCAGGUGGAUAGAGCACCAGAUUCCUAAUCUGGGUGCCGCAUGUUCGAGUCAUGCCGGGGGCACCA